rnacentral:rRNA from 1 species
AGAGUUUGAUCCUGGCUCAGGAUGAACGCUAGCGGGAGGCCUAAUACAUGCAAGUCGAGCGGUAGAGUGACUUCGGUUGCUUGAGAGCGGCGCACGGGUGAGUAACGCGUACAUGACCUACCUUUAAGACUGGGAUAGCCCUGGGAAACUGGGAUUAAUACCGGAUGUGAUAAUAGAUAUAAAGAUUUAUUAUUAAAGUUGCGGCGCUUAGAGAUGGGUGUGCGUCUGAUUAGCUAGUUGGUAGGGUAACGGCCUACCAAGGCGACGAUCAGUAGGGGGCGUGAGAGCGUGGCCCCCCACACGGGUACUGAGACACGGACCCGACUCCUACGGGAGGCAGCAGUAAGGAAUAUUGGUCAAUGGACGGAAGUCUGAACCAGCCAUCCCGCGUGCAGGAUGAAGGUCCUAUGGAUUGUAAACUGCUUUUGGCAGAGACGAAAUGUUGUCAUUUAUGAUGAUUUGACGGUAUCUGCAGAAUAAGCACCGGCUAACUCCGUGCCAGCAGCCGCGGUAAUACGGAGGGUGCAAGCGUUAUCCGGAAUCACUGGGUUUAAAGGGUGCGUAGGCGGAAUAUUAAGUCAGUGGUGAAAUCCUGUCGCUUAACGAUAGAAUUGCCAUUGAUACUGAUAUUCUUGAAUUGGGUUGAGGUUAGCGGAAUGUGACAUGUAGCGGUGAAAUGCAUAGAUAUGUCAUGGAACACCAAUUGCGAAGGCAGCUAGCUGGGCCUUGAUUGACGCUGAGGCACGAAAGCGUGGGUAGCGAACAGGAUUAGAUACCCUGGUAGUCCACGCCCUAAACGA